AGCGGCAACAGCUCAAAUUUGAAAUCUGGCCCCCAGGGCCCGAGUUGUAAUUUGCAGAGGAUGCUUUUGGCGCGGUGCCUUCCGAGUUCCCUGGAACGGGACGCCAUAGAGGGUGAGAGCCCCGUCUGGUCGGACGCCUAGCCUGUGUAAAGCUCCUUCGACGAGUCGAGUAGUUUGGGAAUGCUGCUCUAAAUGGGAGGUAUAUGUCUUCUAAAGCUAAAUACCGGCCAGAGACCGAUAGCGCACAAGUAGAGUGAUCGAAAGAUGAAAAGCACUUUGAAAAGAGGGUUAAAUAGUACGUGAAAUUGUUGAAAGGGAAGCGCUUGUGACCAGACUUGGGCCCGGUGGAUCAUCCAGCGUUCUCGCUGGUGCACUCCGCCGGGUUCAGGCCAGCAUCAGUUCGCCGCGGGGGAAAAAGGCUUCGGGAACGUGGCUCCUACGGGAGUGUUAUAGCCCGUUGCAUAAUACCCUGGGGCGGACUGAGGUUCGCGCUCCGCAAGGAUGCUGGCGUAAUGGUCAUCAGCGACCCGUC
rnacentral:rRNA from 1 species